UACAGAGGGGGCAAGCGUUUUUCGGAAUUAUUGGGCGUAAAGGGCGCGUAGGCGGCCUGGCAAGUGGAAGGUGAAAUCCCUCGGCUUAACCGAGGAACUGCCUCCCAAACUGCUUGGCUUGAGACCAGGAGAGGUGAGUGGAAUUCCCAGUGUAGCGGUGAAAUGCGUAGAUAUUGGGAGGAACACCAGUGGCGAAGGCGGCUCACUGGACUGGUACUGACGCUGAGGCGCGAAAGCGUGGGGAGCAAACGGG
rnacentral:rRNA from 1 species